ensembl:rRNA 5S_rRNA 5S ribosomal RNA
UCAAGCAGCCAUAUCACCCUGCAACUCGACAACAGGCAACCCACUGAAGCUCAGCAGGUGUGAGCCUGGUCAGUACCUGGAUGGGAGACCUCCUGGGAAAAACUAAGGUUGCUGCUGGAA